AUACGGAGGGUGCAAGCGUUACGCGGAAUCACUGGGCGUAAAGCGCGCGCAGGCGGCUAUUUAAGUUGGAUGUGAAAGCCUACGGCUCAACCGUAGAACUGCAUCCAAAACUAUUUAGCUAGAGUGUGGGAGAGGAAGAUGGAAUUAGUUGUGUAGGGGUAAAAUCCGUAGAGAUAACUAGGAAUACCAAAAGCGAAGGCAAUCUUCUGGAACACUACUGACGCUGAGGCGCGAAAGCGUGGGGAGCAAACAGGAUUAGAAACCCUAGUAGUCC
rnacentral:rRNA from 1 species